UGGGAAGUGGCUCAGUGGUAGAGUGCUUGCCUCACAUACAUGAGGCCCUGGGUUCGAUUCCUCAGCACCACAG
rfam:Dipodomys ordii contig_96963, whole genome shotgun sequence.